AAAAAGGUAAUUAAGGGCACUGAUAGUGGAUGCCUUGACAAUCAAUACCGAUGAAGGCCGUAGGACUCUGCGAUAAGCCUCGGGGAUCUGAGAACGAGAAUUGAUCCGGGGAUUGCCGAAUGGGGAAACCUAAUAUGGGUCAUGCCAUAUUGUCGCUACCUGAACACAUAGGGUAGAUGAACGGGAACCAGCCGAACUGAAUCAUCUUAGUAGGUUGAGGAAAAGAGAAUAACCA
rnacentral:rRNA from 1 species